GUAGCCGGCCUGAGAGGGCGACCGGCCACACUGGGACUGAGACACGGCCCAGACUCCUACGGGAGGCAGCAGUGGGGAAUAUUGGGCAAUGGANGRAACUCUGACCCAGCGACGCCGCGUGNGGGAUGAAGGCCUUCGGGUUGUAAACCKCUUUCAGNAGGGAAGAAGCGAAAGUGACGGUACYURCAGAAGAAGCACCGGCUAACUAUGUGCCAGCAGCCGCGGUAAUACAUAGGGUGCAAGCGUUGUCCGGAAUUAUUGGGCGUAAAGAGCUCGUAGGUGGUUYGWYACGUCGGAUGUGAAANUCNGGGGCUYAACCCCNGACCUGCAUYCGAUACGGGCNAGCUAGAGUKUGGUAGGGGA
rnacentral:rRNA from 1 species